ensembl:snRNA U2 U2 spliceosomal RNA
AUCGCUUCUCGGCCUUUUGGCUAAGAUCAAGUGUAGUAUCAACAACGUAUCUAUGUAUUUAAUUAUAUUUAUAUACCUUUU